GUCCUUCCGGCCUUAAAAAGUAAAAACACCCUUGAAACAAAAAGUUAACGAGUUUUAUCUAAAACCCCAAACGAGUUUUCUUCGAGCGGAAAGCAAAGUUAGUUUUGGUGAUCAGAGACAAAGGUUCGGGAAUUACAAAGCUACAGGAGCUUUUCAUAGCAACAGUCUUUGGUGUUUGAAGACAAAACUUCAAGUAAAGAAAUUGAUUAUAAAGUUUGCUGCUCUUGGUUUCUGAUUUUAGCGAUCUAAGAAGGUGAACGCUCGAAAUGGCGAGUGCUAUGCUAGAGAACAGUAAUCAACAAGCGAAGGAUUUGAUUGAGUCUCGCCUGUUCAUUGAAGCUCUAAAGUUCAUCAAGAAGCUAGAAUCUGAUUAUCCAUCUUCUGCACUAGUCUUGGUACUCAAGGCUCUUGUGUAUGCAAGAACUGGCCAUGUCGUAGCACUAUCUAUUUGUUUAGAUGCGAAGGAGAAAAUUUUCGCUGAUAAAUCCGUUCUUCCCGAUGUAUUAAACAUUUUCCAGACCAUUUGCCAACUUCUGGAACGCAACGAUUUAGCAAUCACUUUCUACGAAUAUUCUUGUGCGGAAGUUUCCAAUGAUUUGGGUUUGAUGUUGGGACUUUUCCAAUGUUAUGCCCGUGAGUCUUUGUAAAUCAACUUAUGAUCUGCCUAAAAAUGUACAAGCUUUCUCAAGAAGUCAAGUUUCUGAUGUCGGCUGUUUUCAGCAUUCAACUACAGGUGGUUUCUCACUUGGUCAAGAAGUAUGCAACCACCCAUAACUUGGAUGAACCAGAAGCCCUUCUAGUAUACAUUUCUGUAGCGCAACAACAGGGAAAGUACGAUCAUGCUCGUGAAAUCCUAUCCAUGUUGGGUACGACAUUUCUAAUAUGUGAAGUUGAUAGGCUAUGUAUAAAUGUAUUGUCACAAGUCUUCUUUUUACUAAAAUUUGAAGUUGUAUUAGAAGUUGCUAUGGUUUGCUAUUGCCUACAAAUAGAUGGUAUUUAUGAAUGCUAGCUAAGUUUUUCGUUGUUUUAGUACCGUCCACGUGAAAGUGGAUGUAAAGUCUUUAUACAUGGUAGCAGACGUAGGGUUUAUCGAACCAGACAUAUAGAUUAUGAAUGCAUGAAUGUGAAAACAGAUAUAGAUUAACCUUGAUUGUGUGUUUUGGUUUUUCCAUGUGGACAUGAGCUUCUUUUCAGGCAUCGACCAUAGAUUAUUUUUGAUAGACAAAGUGCCUGGCGGACUGCGCAUGUUUCCAAUUUUAUUUUAAAGUUGUACCUGGGGAAGCCAAAGUUAUGUUUCCUGUUUCUGACCAUGUUUGGGCCUAAAUAUAUGAUGUAAAGGUUCAGGGGAAGGUUGUUAUCUUAAAUUUCAUAAUAGAACUUCAAUCUGCUGUAUUGUAUCAAUAUUUACUUCGGGAUGGAACUUGUACCUAUUAUAAGUUCCGUGUUGCUUCUGUUUAACCUUAACUUGACAGGGGGAUAUAUGCUUCUUGCUCGUUUUUUAUGUUGCUAUGGUCCUGCCGCGGAGAUCUUGAUUCUAGAGUCAUCGAAAUGGUAACUAUCUUCUUUCAGGAAGAGAGGCUACGUUUGCCAAUCAAAUACUAGAUUCGUCCAUACAUAGUUUUGCAUGUCGUUCACUUGGUUCAAAAGACUGGGAAUGUUUCCUCAGCGAGUUGGGUCGAUUGCUGGAGGAUGAUAGUCAGUGGUGUGGUGCAACAACUGACAAUCAAAUUCAUCCACCCUGCUCUUAGCGUGCAAAUUAUCUCAGCUAUCUGAGAAAGAAGUGACCACUGUAACCUUUCUUUAUAUCAAGGCUUGGUGCUGACACUAAAGUAACCCUUCAAAUCUCCCGAGCGUUUGAAGAAUUACAGUUGGUUAUUAAUCUCCGUGGACAAGAUUCAUUGACUCCAGCCCUCCAAGUAGAAGUUCAAAAGUUUCUUGCAGGAGUUGAUGAGAUCUCAGAUUUCAUUCCUGAUGGAGUCUCUGAAUACCAUGGGACAUCAAUUGCCUUGAGAACGGAUAGAUUCAUCAUAGUAGCCGCUGAUGGAAACUUACUACAAAAGAUAACUCCGAAGGCUUAAACUUGAAAGCUGAUAAGGUUCUUCGUCUCGAUGACAUGUGUGUUGGAAUAUGUAGUUCUUGGAAGACUUUGAGUAUCGCAGUUGGCGUGUUGGAGAGCCGUUUUAGAGAUGUUAAGAAUGAGAGAGCUAAAAGACCUACAGUUAGAGAACUAGCUGAUUUCUUGAGAGAAGAAUCGUCAUCAUCGUGCCAAGGGAAGUGUGGAACUAUUCUUGGUGCCUUCGAUCAGUUAGAGGAGGGUGUAUAUGUUCCUUGCAUCUCGUUUGCCGAUGAUUGCAAUAGAGUUGAUGUUACCCAACCAUUCUUCUGCUUGGGAACUGGUGCAUGGUUUGCAAAUAAGAUCUUGUCAGAAGGAUUCUGCAUGGACAUGAGCUUAGAUGAGGCCAUUCGGUUGGUUGAGAGAGCGCUUGUUUAUGCAAGUUUACAUGAUAGUUCCACGGGUGGAUGGGUAAACAUCUACGUGAUCGAGGUUGGCAAGCCCGUAAGAGCAAUAACUAGAGAAAGGAUAUGUACUACAUUAUGGCGUAGACAUCAUUUGUCUCUUCCUGAAAAUCCUACAAGAUUCACUCGCUAAGUUUCUCUGUAUCUUUUCCCGAUCUCUCUGAUUUCCUAUUCAAUGGAAUAGAUGCUUCUCCGUAUUUUUAUGAUACUCUAUGGGAUGAAUUUGUAAGUGUUUUAACCAAAUUCAUGAUAUUUAAUUCAUGUGAUUUGAUGUUAUAUUACUUCUAAAAAA